AAUGGCACUGCCCGGUAGCUAAAUGCGGAAGAGAUAAGUGCUGAAAGCAUCUAAGCACGAAACUUGCCCCGAGAUGAGUUCUCCCUGACUCCUUGAGAGUCCUGAAGGAACGUUGAAGACGACGACGUUGAUAGGCCGGGUGUGUAAGCGCAGCGAUGCGUUGAGCUAACCGGUACUAAUGAACCGUGAGGCUUAACCUU
rnacentral:rRNA from 1 species